rnacentral:rRNA from 1 species
CUACGGGACGCAGCAGUGAGGAAUAUUGCACAAUGGGGGGGACCCUGAUGCAGCAACACCGCGUGGAGGAUGACGCAUUUCGGUGUGUAAACUCCUUUUAUAUGUCAAGAAAAUGACGGUAGCAUAUGAAUAAGCACCGGCUAACUCCGUGCCAGCAGCCGCGGUAAUACGGAGGGUGCAAGCGUUACUCGGAAUCACUGGGCGUAAAGGACGCGUAGGCGGGUUGGAAAGUCAGGUGUGAAAUCCUACAGCUUAACUGUAGAACUGCACUUGAAACUUCUAAUCUAGAGUAUGGGAGGGGGAGAUGGAAUUAGUGGUGUAGGGGUAAAAUCCGUAGAUAUCACUAGGAAUACCUAAAGCGAAGGCGAUCUCCUGGAACAUUACUGACGCUAAGGCGUGAAAGCGUGGGGAGCAAACAGGAUUAGAUACCCGUGUAGUC